UUAGAGUUUGAUCCUGGCUCAGGACGAACGCUGGCGGCGUGCCUAAUACAUGCAAGUCGAACGAGGUUUAAUCAGUUUGCGGUGGUGCUUGCAUCACCCAUUACCGAUUAAACCGAGUGGCGGACGGGUGAGUAACACGUGGGUAACCUGCCCUUCAGCAGGGGAUAACAUUUGGAAACAGAUGCUAAUACCGUAUAACCACGGAGACCGCAUGGUCCCCGGGUAAAAGAUGGCGCAAGCUAUCACUGAGGGAUGGACCCGCGGCGUAUUAGCCAGUUGGUGGGGUAAUGGCCUACCAAAGCGAUGAUACGUAGCCGACCUGAGAGGGUAAUCGGCCACAUUGGGACUGAGACACGGCCCAAACUCCUACGGGAGGCAGCAGUAGGGAAUCUUCCACAAUGGACGCAAGUCUGAUGGAGCAACGCCGCGUGAGUGAAGAAGGCUUUCGGGUCGUAAAACUCUGUUAUUGAAGAAGAACGUGUGUGAGAGUAACUGCUCAUGCAGUGACGGUAUUCAACCAGAAAGUCACGGCUAACUACGUGCCAGCAGCCGCGGUAAUACGUAGGUGGCAAGCGUUGUCCGGAUUUAUUGGGCGUAAAGCGAGUGCAGGCGGUUUUUUAAGUCUGAUGUGAAAGCCUUCGGCUUAACCGAAGAAGUGCAUCGGAAACUGGGAAACUUGAGCGCAGAAGAGGAGAGUGGAACUCCAUGUGUAGCGGUGAAAUGCGUAGAUAUAUGGAAGAACACCAGUGGGCGAAGGCGGCUCUCUGGUCUGUAACUGACGCUGAGGCUCGAAAGCGUGGGUAGCAAACAGGAUUAGAUACCCCUGGUAGUCCACGCCGUAAACGAUGAAUACUAAGUGGUUGGGGGGGGUUUCCGGCCCCUCAGUGCUGCAGCUAACGCAUUAAGUAUUCCGCCCUGGGGGAGUACGACCGCAAGGUUGAACUCCAAAAGGGAAUUUGACGGGGGCCCGCACAAGCGGUGGAAGCAUGGUGGUUUAAUUCGAAGCAACGCGAAGAACCUUACCAGGUCUU
rnacentral:rRNA from 1 species